rnacentral:tRNA from 1 species
GGGGCUGUGGCUCAGCUGGGAGAGCGCCUCGUUCGCAUCGAGGAGGUCGGCGGUUCGAAUCCGCCCAGCUCCACCA